rnacentral:rRNA from 1 species
GCCUAAGAACCGAUUAUUUUUGCCCGUGUGUUUACCCGAUCUGAUCAGAUCUCAGGAACUAGGCAAAGGUUAGGCCUGUUCAUUACGUGGAUUGGAGACUACCUGGGAAAACCAGGUGUUGUAGGCU